GGCCGCUUCCGGCUGCGGAAGAGCAACUUCCUGACUAGGAGCCAAUCGACGGGCCCUCAAGGGAGUGAAGGCGCAGGAGUGUACAAGGAACUUAGCUUCCGGUGGCAGGGUCUGGGGAAGGGGCGGUAGGCGCCAUGUCCGGCCGGGAAGGUGGCAAGAAGAAGCCCCUGAAACAGCCCAAGAAACAGGCCAAGGAGAUGGACGAGAUAAGGCAUUCAAGCAGAAGCAAAAAGAGGAGCAGAAGAAACUUGAGGAGCUAAAAGCGAAGGCCGCGGGGAAGGGCCCCUUGG